AUGAUGGGAUCCCGGGGUCCCUGCACCCCCAGGCCAUGGAAUAUCCAUGGAUGGUGGGAUCCCGGGGUCCCUGCACCCCCAAACUACGGAAUACCCAUGGAAGAGGGGAUCCUACACCCCCCAGGACAUGGAAUACCCAUGGAUGAUGGGAUCCUGGGAGUCCUGCACCCCCAGAUUAUGGGAUCCCGGGGUCCCUGCACCCCCAGGCUAUGGAACACCCAUGGAUUAUGGGAUCCUGGGGUCCCUGCACCCCCAGGACAUGGAAUACCCAUGGAUUAUGGGAUCCCGGGGAUCCUGCACCCCCAGGCCAUGGAAUAUCCAUGGAAGAGGGGAUCCUACACCCCCAAGCUAUGGAAUAUCCAUGGAUGGUGGGAUCCUGGGGUCCCUGCACCCCCAGGCUAUGGAAUACCCAUGGAUUAUGGGAUCCCGGGGUCCCUGCACCCCCAGGACAUGGAAUAUCCAUGGAUGAUGGGAUCCCUGCACCCCCAGGACACGACCCCCCCUCCCCAGCGCCACCACCCAGCUCCAGCAUCACCCGCCGGGUCCCCGGGGUGCUCCCAGACUUGUGCCGGGAUAUUUCGGGAAGCAGGACCCGCAUUCCCGGGGCUGAGAGCCGAGGAGUGCCCAGGGAAGGGUGGGAGGGUUUGGCUCCAUCACACCCACCUUUGCUGCCAUGCCGGGGCUGCUGUCACCUCCCGGCGUGUCCGUCUGUCCGUCUGUCACCUCCCGGCACCCCAAACCCUCUGCCCACCCAAUUCAUCCCCUCCCGGCGCCUCCAGCCUCUCCUCCCCCGUAUCCCGCGGCAUUCCCGCUGGGAAUGCGCUGCAGGGGCUGCCUGGCACGGCCACCCCGCCCUGCCCCGGGUGAUUUAUCGCCUCCCGGCCCGCCGGGGGUUGGCUGGGACGCUCUGAUAACCAACUGGUCUGAACUGGUCGGGCCGGCCCUGCGGAUUCCUGCGGAUUCCUGCGGAUUCCUGCGUCCCCAUGGAGCUGCGGACACGGCCUGACCUUCCAGGAACGUGGGAGGGAAGGGAAGGCUCCGGCUCUGCUCGCUGGUCCCAAAUGGUCAUAAAGGAUGGGGGAUGUGAAAGACAACAGCAUCGGGUUUGUUUUUGUUCAUUGGGAUUGUGUAAAACGCAGGAAACAGUGGGGCAGGAGGGCAGGAUGUAUGGGAUCAAUAGAUAGUGGAAUUGAGAGAUCUUUGAAAGCUGAGUUACCAUAUUUGGAGAAGUUAUUGCAGGGUUAACGUUACCUCGGAGGAAGAAGAAUAAAAAAGACCCCUAGCAACACUGAGAAGAUGCAGAGAUACUGAGGGGUAUAGGAACUGAAACACCCGGAGGUGCAGUCGAGCUCUUGUGGGGAGCAGAAGCCCCCCGGCCACCCAGCGGUGUUGCUUGCUUGCUAAAUUAAUAAAAUUCUCUUUAAAAAGUGACACAAAUUGGUCCCGUGUCAUAAUUUAUAACAGGGGAGAAGAGAGCCUCGGGGUGAACUCGCUGAUCCCAAAUAUUCAUAAAGGAUGG
rnacentral:lncRNA from 1 species